rnacentral:tRNA from 1 species
GUUGGCUUAGUCGGCGGAGCGUCGGAUUCAUAACCCGAAGGUCGUGGGUUCAAGCCCCACA